rnacentral:rRNA from 1 species
CAGCCGGCACGGUAAUACGUAGGUGGCAAGCGUUGUCCGGAAUUAUUGGGCGUAAAGCGCGCGCAGGCGGAUAGGUCAGUCUGUCUUAAAAGUUCGGGGCUUAACCCCGUGAUGGGAUGGAAACUGCUGAUCUAGAGUAUCGGAGAGGAAAGUGGAAUUCCUGGUGUAGCGGUGAAAUGCGUAGAUAUUAGGAAGAACACCAGUGGCGAAGGCGACUUUCUGGACGAAAACUGACGCUGAGGCGCGAAAGCCAGGGGAGCGAACGGGAUUAGAUACCCCCGUAGUCCCUGUCUCUUAUACC